rnacentral:rRNA from 1 species
AUGCCGCGUGAGUGAUGAAGGCCUUAGGGUCGUAAAGCUCUUUCGCCAGAGAAGAUAAUGACAGUAUCUGGUAAAGAAACCCCGGCUAACUCCGUGCCAGCAGCCGCGGUAAUACGGAGGGGGUUAGCGUUGUUCGGAAUUACUGGGCGUAAAGCGCACGUAGGCGGAUCAGAAAGUAUAGGGUGAAAUCCCAGGGCUCAACCCUGGAACUGCCUUGUAAACUCCUGGUCUUGAGUUCGAGAGAGGUGAGUGGAAUUCCGAGUGUAGAGGUGAAAUUCGUAGAUAUUCGGAGGAACACCAGUGGCGAAGGCGGCUCACUGGCUCGAUACUGACGCUGAGGUGCGAAAGUGUGGGGAGCAAACAGGAUUAGAUACCCUGGUAGUCCACACCGUAAACGAUGAAUGCCAGACGUCAGCAAGCAUGCUUGUUGGUGUCACACCUAACGGAUUAAGCAUUCCGCCUGGGGAGUACGGUCGCAAGAUUAAAACUCAAAGGAAUUGACGG